UAGAGAGGGAAGCCUGGUUAAGGCCUAUUCACUCGUGGUUCCCUCUUCCUGAGGUAGGGGAUGACCCAGAGGGGGCGAGUACCUGGUAACCCUGGGGAAAGCAAGGCGACUUUAGAGGCGUGAAGGCCUUCCCUUGUGAUGUGCCUGCUUUGGCAAAGGCCUUUUAUAAGGUGGUAAAAUGUGAUAAAGUGAAACUGAGGGUCAUGGAGGAGGAAAAUUAAAUUGUCUGAGUUUCUGAGGGACAGAACACACCCAGAGCCAGCACCAGAGACACCUAGAAGGAAGGUUUGCCAUGGGUCAGGCAAUGGACACAAAACCCACAGGAGGCAGAGGGAGCACAGCAGAUCUUGCUAGUAGAAGGCUCGGGCUAUGGAUAAGAAAACUCCUCUCCCGAGGAAAAUAACACAGAAAAGGGGUUACAGAUAGGAGCGUGGGCGCUCCCUCCCAAAGGCUCCACAAGAGUCAUUGCUUUCCCAGAGUUGCGUAACGGAGGCCUCUCCUAAGUCUCACCAGCAAGAUAUUCUAGCCCUGCUCCGCACAGCAGUGGGCAGAACUGCACACGCGUGGUAUGAAAUGGCCAGAUACUCAGAAACCACUGCAGACAAGGCAGCGUUAGACCAUGGCAUGCAUCCCGAAGGAGAUCACAGAGAAGCAGCAGCUUUUUCGAUGAACUGGGCCAGCUUCACGUCCCUCUUGGUCAGGCCUCCACAGUCAUGCGAGGUGAGGGUUAUCUGGACCUACGUAGGGGAAGCAGCUUUUCAGAUCUGAGCAGGGACCUGUGGGCUUUCUCCCCAGGGUGGCAGACAUCAGUGUACUUUUCAACAUUCAUAUCUGAGAACUCAGGGUUAUGUGACUUAGACAACACAUUACGGAGAAACCCGGACUUUGCCAGACCCAUCAGGCUUUGCAGCAGCCACCUAAAAGUAGAGGUCCCCAGGGGCGAGGGGUCGGCUGCCAGCAUGGAAAACCUCGCUUCCUGGAGGAAUCGAGAUGGAAACACCACUUUAACUCCAGGAUUUCACUUCCGCCAGCUCUGUUCAGGAAGAGGCGAGCAGACCUAUCAGGCAGUAGCUGAGUGAGGUACAAAAGCUUGUCAGCGGAGGAAACAAGUGAGGGUACACCUCAACAAGAAGAUCGAAAAGCAAAGAAGGGCAUCCAGGAAGGACAGGUCCAACCUGGAACUGGACCUUUAGGGAUUGCUUCUCUUUAAAAAUCCCAAAGUGGAAUUCUCAUUUCUCAAAGAUGCCUUACAACCCUUCAGAGAAGUCUGGAUUGAUAUCCCCAGUGCUGAGACCAUAAAGGCAGGACACUCUUGGGGGACAGGGUGUUCUCGCUGCACCCCUUAAAACUCUUAAGCCUGUCCUCUGGAGAUCAAAUCUUUAAUAAACAUUUACCACAAAGAA